GACGAACGCUGGCGGCGCGCUUAACACAUGCAAGUCGUGCGGUGUCGAAGGCAAGUCUUACGACAAGCCUUCGACACAGCGGCGAACGGGUGAGUAACACGUGAGUAGCUGUCCUAAGGAGGGGGAUAACGCCUGGAAACGGGUGCUAAUACCCCAUAUGCCUCGCAAGAGGUGAAAGUGUACUUGCUACAGCCUUAGGGUGUGCUCGCGGCCUAUCAGCUAGUUGGUGAGGUAACGGCUCACCAAGGCUAAGACGGGUAGCCGGCCUGAGAGGGUGUACGGCCACACUGGAAUUGAGAUACGGUCCAGACUCCUACGGGAGGCAGCAGUGGGGAAUCUUGGGCAAUGGGCGAAAGCCUGACCCAGCGACGCCGCGUUGGGGAUGAAGCCCUUCGGGGCGUAAACCCAUGUUGUAGGGGACGAAGAAAGUGACGGUACCCUACGAGAAAGCCCCGGCCAACCUACGUG
rnacentral:rRNA from 1 species